CCAGUCCUGCCGAAAGUCUAAGACAAGUU
rnacentral:piRNA from 1 species